rnacentral:rRNA from 1 species
UUGGAGGGCAAGUCUGGUGCCAGCAGCCGCGGUAAUUCCAGCUCCAAUAGCGUAUAUUAAAGUUGUUGCAGUUAAAAAGCUCGUAGUUGAAUUUCGGGGUUAGUAGGUUGGUCGUGCCUCAGGUAUGUACUGAUCUCACUGAUUCCUCCUUCCUGAUGAACCGUAAUGCCAUUAAUUUGGUGUUGCGGGGAAACUGGACUGUUACUUUGAAAAAAUUAGAGUGUUUAAAGCAGGCUAACGCUUGAAUACAUUAGCAUGGAAUAAUGAAAUAGGACGUUCGAUCCUAUUUUGUUGGUUUCUAGGAUUGACGUAAUGAUUAAUAGGGAUAGUUGGGGGCAUUAGUAUUCAAUUGUCAGAGGUGAAAUUCUUGGAUUUAUUGAAGACUAACUACUGCGAAAGCAUUUGCCAAGGAUGUUUUCAUUAAUCAAGAACGAAGGUUAGGGGAUCGAAGACGAUCAGAUACCGUCGUAGUCUUAACCAUAAACUAUGCCGACUAGGGAUCGGAUGAUGUUAAUUUUUUAAUGACUCAUUCGGCGCCUUACGGGAAA